AUGUCUCUUUAAGAACAUAUCCGAUAAAUUUGGAAUGAUAUAGAGAAGAUUAGCAUGGCCUUUGUGCAAGGAUUGACAUACAAACUAGAAACGGUCCAAUUUUUU
rfam:Cucumis sativus cultivar 9930 chromosome 2, whole genome shotgun sequence.